rnacentral:rRNA from 1 species
AGCGAACGCUGGCGGCAGGCCUAACACAUGCAAGUCGAACGAACCUUUCGGGGUUAGUGGCGGACGGGUGAGUAACACGUGGGAACGUGCCUUUAGGUUCGGAAUAACUCAGGGAAACUUGUGCUAAUACCGAAUGUGCCCUUCGGGGGAAAGAUUUAUCGCCUUUAGAGCGGCCCGCGUCUGAUUAGCUAGUUGGUUGAGGUAAUGGCUCACCAAGGCGACGAUCAGUAGCUGGUCUGAGAGGAUGAUCAGCCACAUUGGGACUGAGACACGGCCCAAACUCCUACGGGGGGCAGCAGGGGGGAAUUUUGCGAAAGGGGCGAAAGCCUGACCCAGCCAUGCCGGGUGAAUGAUGAAGGUCUUAGGAUUGUAAAAUUCUUUCCCCGGGGACGAUAAUGACGGGACCCGGAGAAGAAACCCCGGCCACCUGCGU